GUUCCUUAUGCAACUGAACUAUAAGACUGAGCAUCUUAGAGCAACACCAGGUAUUCUCCCAGGAACCAAGAAGCAGCACUGCUUACAACUUGAUUGGUAUAACAGAAAUAAGGCUUACCACCUGGUGCAUAAAGACCGCAAAAGUCAAACAGAACUUCAUUUCUCCUGUCUUCCUAUUUCUUUCUCUUCACAGACAAAUCACUUUCAGUUUUAAUACCAUAAGAACUGUUGGAAUUGCACAAACAUCCUAAAUUAUUUAUGAUAAUUUAAAAUAGCUAGUAGGAAGUGAUUUUCCUUCAUUCAUGUCUUAAAUACUUACAAUUUCAAUACCAUCAUUGCUUGCAAAUGUUUUGUAUUUAGAAAUAAGUUCACUGAAAGAGUAGGCAAUCUUAUGCAUACAUACAGCAAAGUUCUUCAGUAUCACAAAUACUGGGCAAUAAAGUUAGAAUUUAUUAUAGCCCUUGCAUUUUUAAUUUGAAUUUAAGAAUUCAUUAGUUAUUUGAAUAGUGCUUCAGUAAUCUCUCCAUCAGACUCAGCAACUGAAGUUCCAACACUGAGCAAGGAACAGCAGUAAGUAUUAUUUUGAAAAUUCCCGUAGCCCUGACAAUUGACAAUUAAUGCUAUAAUGAAAGUGUUAGAUGUGUAGCAGUUUGCAGCACUACAGACAUUUUUUAUUUGAAGUGCUGUACACCACCUUAAAAAAAAAAAAAAGACUAUUUGAAUACAGAGGGAGGAAUGGGAUAGACAUGGGCACAGACACACAAG